rnacentral:rRNA from 1 species
UAGUCCACGCCCUAAACGAUGUGUGCUAGUUGUUAGUCCCUUAGGGAUUAGUGACGCAGCUAACGCAUUAAGCACACCGCCUGGGGAGUACGGCCGCAAGGUUAAAACUCAAAGAAAUUGACGGGACCCGCACAAGCGGUGGAGCAUGUGGUUUAAUUCGAAGCAACGCGAAGAACCUUACCAACCCUUGACAUCCUGGUCGCAGAUCGCAGAGAUGCUUUCCUUCAGUUCGGCUGGACCAGUGACAGGUGCUGCACGGCUGUCGUCAGCUCGUGUCGUGAGAUGUUCGGUUAAGUCCGACAACGAGCGCAACCCCUAUUUCCAGUUACCAGCAUUUAGUUGGGUACUCUGGCAAAACUGCCCGUGACAAGCGGGAGGAAGGUGGGGACGACGUCAAGUCAUCAUGGCCCUUACGGGGUUGGGGCUACACACGUGCUACAAUGGCGGGUGACAAUA